rnacentral:sRNA from 19 species
GAGGAAGCCCGGUGAGAAUCCGGCGCGGUCCCGCCACUGUGAGCCCGGCAGCAGCCGGGUGAGCCAGGAACUC